rnacentral:tRNA from 1 species
AUGGUCUAGUUGGUUAGGACGCCUGCCUGUCACGCAGGAGAUCACGGGUUCGAGUCCCGUU